AGGGACCGAGAGACCAUUCUUCGGGAACGAUUCAUCUAUCGCGUCUACCAUUGGAGUUAGCCCGGUAUCUAUCCCUGGCAUAUCCAGUUUGCCUCAGAGCGACGGGCUUGCAGGACCAGCCGCUAGGACUGAUUCUCAUAUGACUCCUG